CGACGUUGGAGGAGGUCAACGAGGCCCCAGCUGCGGGGACUCUGCUCAAAUGGAAACUCCAUUCUCUGCUCUCUGACUCAGAUCCCUCCUGGGUCUUCACUGAUGGAUGGAUCUCAGAGAGCUGACCUAUUCAGAUCUCCCAGGUGACACAGCAGUCUCAUAGUAGGGGCUUUGUAUGGACCAGAUGUUCUGACUGUUCCAACUGUCCUCUAAAAGGCCGGCGUCGAU
rnacentral:lncRNA from 1 species